UCUUUUGUCUUCCAUAAUUUUCAAGAUUUAAGAUAUAUUAGGAAUUUGUCAUAAUUAUUCAACUAUUGAAGAACGAAAUCUUGAAAGUAUAUAAACUCAACAGCCACUACAUGAUUUAUUUUGCUUAUUUUACUAAGUCCUUCUAGAUUAGCUCACUUUAAAUAUUUUUUCUUUCCAAUUUCUGUCCAUUCUCUUUUUCCCAGUUACAUACAUUUUUAUUUCAUUCAACUAUUAGUUCUGUAAGUUAUAAUGGAAAAACAUAUAUCAUUGUAAAGAGUGGAUCAUACUGUUUGUCUGAUCAUUUUAUAAUUUAGUCCAAUGGGUUCAAAUUCCUCCACAUAUGUAGCUUUAAGUCCUAUUUACCAUACCAUUUGAAGGACUGAUCACUUUCUUCAUUUUGUUUUCUUUUCUGUCAAUCAUCUCAGAAUGUUAUGAACCUUUUCAUAUUAAUAAUUGAUAAUACAGACUUCUCAGUUGUAUCUAUUAUAUAGUGAUAAAUUUAUUCUCAGUAAAAUUAUUUUUCUUCUGAUUACUCUAUUACUCAUUUACUUAAUGUUAAAGAAAACAUCUUAAAGGCAGUUAGAUAAAAAUGUCGGAUCAUACACAGAGGGAACCCCAUCAGGCUAACAGUGGAUUUCUCAGCAAAAACUUUGUAAGCCUGGAGUGAUUGUGGGCAUAUUUUCAGCAUUCUUCAAGAAAAGAAAUUUCAACCAAGAAAUUAAUAUCCCACCAAACUAAGUUUCAUAAAGCAAAGAAGAAAUAGUUUCCAGACAAGCAAGCAUGAAGAUAAUUCAUUACCACUAGACUAGCCUUACAAGAGAUACAAGAGAACUAAACAUGGAAACUAAAGAAUGAUACCUACUACCAAAAAAAAAAAAAAAACACACUUAAGUACAUAGCCUACAGACCCUGUAAAGUAACUACACAAUAGAAACUACAAAGCAACUAGCUAACAACAUCAUGAUAGGAUCAGAAUCUCACAUAUCAAUAUUAAUGUGGAAUGUAAAUGGUCUACAUUCCCCA
rnacentral:lncRNA from 10 species